GUUUUUUGUUUUGUUUUGUUUCUGUUUUUUAAUCAUUUUCAGAUGUUAUCCAGAAAUCUGCAAGUGUACUUUUCCUGUUUUAACUCCUUCCUUUUAUCACCUGACUAUCAGGGAAGCGAGGUUGAGGCUGCCCUGACCUGACAUGUCAUGAUGUCGACUUGCUAGGUGGGGUUCGCUGGGGACGAUAACCAGUGGAAUUAUUGGUAAGAACUUCUCAAAUUCUUAGGUUAGCAGGAAAGGCCUGCAAGUUUGAAGUAAAGUAAUGAAAUACUCAGGGUAUAUUAUAAGUGGUCAAGAUAGACUAAAUCUCUUGGAGAAACAGUAAAUUUGCUUUAUUUUAUGUGAUUUUCAGUCCCUCUGAUAUCUUCAGUAUAUUUACAUUUUAUUGGAUAGAUUAUCUUAAAAGUUUUAGCAAUUUGACAAAUA
rnacentral:lncRNA from 1 species